rnacentral:tRNA from 1 species
AUUUAAUAUCAAAGAAUAGUUUAAUUAAAAUAUUAAUUUUGGAGAUUAAUGAUAAAGAUUCUUUUUCUUUGA